rnacentral:tRNA from 1 species
CACGUAAUAGCUUAAAUUAAAGCAUUAAACUUUUAAUUUAAAGAUAAGUUGUACUUAUAUGUGA